rnacentral:lncRNA from 1 species
AAGAAGAAGAAGAAGAAGAAGCAGUGUGUGUGCGUGUUUCUCGCUCGUUCGAGAUUCGAUCCACCACAAAAACAACUUUUUCACUCAAUUCAAUUCAUUGAAUUUCAUCCAAACAAACAAACAACUCCAAGUAAAUAAUAGACAGUAGCGACCCUGCGACAGUGUGUGUGUGUGUUUCUUUUUUUUUUUUUUUUUUGGUAAAAUCGGAUAUAUAUAGUACUGUCAAGUGAGUGUCAACAACUAACUAAGGAGUAUGGAAUGCUGUUUCCGGUUUUAUAAAUUUAGUCCUUCAUCUCAUCAACAAUCAACAAUUUCAUUUGUUUCUUUCUUAAUUAAUAUUUGCUCCUUCAAUCAAUCAAUCUGCACUUAACCAAAAACCUCUAUUUUUAUUUAUACUGUACUAAUAAUUGUUGUGGAUUAAACUUAAACCAGAGCAUAUCAAUAUCAUCAUCAUGUCCAUAACAAAACUAAAUUACUAAACAAUAAUUGGAAAACUACAGUAGUGGGAAUCUCCAGUAUAAUAAUCUCUUCAAAGAAAACAAUACAAUAUGAUUUUGUUUGCCCAUGCUAUUUUUUUUAAGUCAUGGAAGUUCAGCACCAGUUCAGUUCACAAAGAAUAUACAUACUGUGUCUCUGUUUCAAAAUGCCAGUA